GCCUGUGUAGUGUAGUGGUUUGAACACUGGAGUACAACCCUGGAGGUCAGGGUUCGAAUCCCCACUCAGCCA